rnacentral:rRNA from 1 species
GACGAACGCUGGCGGCGUGCUUAACACAUGCAAGUCGAACGGAAAGGCCCUGCUUUUGUGGGGUGCUCGAGUGGCGAACGGGUGAGUAACACGUGAGUAACCUGCCCUUGACUUUGGGAUAACUUCAGGAAACUGGGGCUAAUACCGGAUAGGAGCUCCUGCUGCAUGGUGGGGGUUGGAAAGUUUCGGCGGUUGGGGAUGGACUCGCGGCUUAUCAGCUUGUUGGUGGGGUAGUGGCUUACCAAGCCUUUGACGGGUAGCCGGCCUGAGAGGGUGACCGGCCACAUUGGGACUGAGAGACGGCCCAGACGCCUACGGUAGGCAGCAGUGGGGAAUAUUGCACAAUGGGCGGAAGCCUGAUGCAGCAACGCCGCGUGCGGGAUGACGGCCUUCGGGUUGUAAACCGCUUUCGCCUGUGACGAAGCGUGAGUGACGGUAAUGGGUAAAGAAGCACCGGCUAACUACGUG